GGUUGACUUCCGGUAUUCGUCCGAAAGCAAGUCGCACAUGUUGCCGUCCUACACAAAGCAGCCUCGAAGCAAUGCCUUAAAGUUCACCUGACGCUCAGAGUUACGUGGUGCACCUGAACGCCUCAUCGCAUGAACAGCAAGCAUGGAGACUGCAGGGAGAAAGCCGUGUUAAAUCAACAGUGGCGACUUAUCCAGGGUGUCCCCGCCUUUCUCCCGAAUGCAGCAGAGACAGGCUCCAGCACCCCCCGCAACCCUAUGACUGUGGAGAGGUGGAGCCGACGGUCCGACGGCGGGGCAGGGCAUGCUAAAGCCCUGCCCAAGGUGGCGGCAAGGAGGCGGAGAAUGCGGCUGAGCGGAGAGGCGGGGCGUGCCGGGAGCGACGCCGCAAUCUAAUUCAGGUGCGUCGAUUACGCGCCGGCAGACGAUUAACUUAUCUCCUCACACUGUAUAAAAGGGGAGAAGGAGGAGAGAUCGAGGCAGAAAGAGGAGAGUCCGCAGCUGAUGCAGCGCAAGAGCGACAGAGAGAAGACAAAAGCGACCGAAGAGCGAGCAGCAGAGGAGGAGCUGAAAAGCAACCCGGCAAGAGAGCUUAAUUUGGAAAAAAUAAAAAGAGUCAAACCUGCUCAAAGCCAUGUCCUUCCUGAGUGGUCCAUGGAACCCGCACGACGACAGCAAGGAACUGUCACAAUGACAAAGCAAAUUGGUGUA